AUUGAACGCUGGCGGCAGGCCUAACACAUGCAAGUCGAACGAGUGGCGGACGGGUGAGUAAUGUCUGGGCAACUGCCCGAUGGAGGGGGAUAACUACUGGAAACGGUAGCUAAUACCGCAUACCAUCAGAUGUGCCCAGAUGGGAUUAGCUAGUUGGUGGGGUAACGGCUCACCAAGGCGACGAUCCCUAGCUGGUCUGAGAGGAUGACCAGCCACACUGGAACUGAGACACGGUCCAGACUCCUACGGGGGGCGGCAGUGGGGAAUAUUGGACAAUGGGGGCAAGCCUUAUGAAGCCAUGCCGCGGGUAUGAAGAAGGCCUUCGGGUUGUAAAGUACUUUCAGCGGGGAGGCGGUACCCGCAGAAGAAGCACCGGCUAACUCCGUGCCAGCAGCCGCGGUAAUUC
rnacentral:rRNA from 1 species